UGCAGCCGUAAUCCUGUAUUUGCUGUCCAGAAUUAUGCAAUUUAUUUGGUGUGAGGUGAGGGAGAAAUUUCUUUUUAAAGGUUCUUGAGAUGAAUCCCUAACAGGUCCUUAGUUGAUUCACAUAUUCAACAAGUAUUUAUUAUACAUCUGUAUUGCAGGCAUCAGCUAUGUUCAUUGCAGUGAGCAAGAUGGACCUGGCAUACAUCUCCUUAAAUGGAGGAGAGUGAUGUGAACUAAUUAGGUGAACAAAUAACCAUAGAGAUCCAUAUAAUUCCAAG